rnacentral:rRNA from 1 species
CACGCAUGACACACUGCAUAUCAAUAAGCGGAGGAAAAGAUACUAACAAGGAUUCCCUUAGUAACGGCGAGUGAAGCGGGAAGAGCUCAAAUUUGAAAUCUUCAAGGUUCUACCUUGACGAAUUGUAGUUUAUAGAAGUGUUUUCUGUUAGUGGAGUGGCAAAAGUUCUUUGGAAUAGGACAUCAUAGAGGGUGAGAAUCCCGUAUUUGGUCAUUCCUCCUAGCGUUGUGAUACACUUUCAAAGAGUCGGAUUGUUUGGGAAUGCAGUCCAAAAUGGGUGGUAAAUUUCAUCUAAAGCUAAAUAUUGGCGAGAGACCGAUAGCGAACAAGUACCGUGAGGGAAAGAUGAAAAGAACUUUGAAAAGAGAGUUAAACAGUACGUGAAAUUGUCAAAAGGGAAGCGUUUGACACCAGUGUUGUUUUUCCGAAAAUCAAUUACGAAUGUUUUGUUUUUGAGGAGUUAUGACUUCAUCGGCUUGCUUCUCUCUUUACUGAAACUUUCUUAAUGCAGCUUUUCGGUUAACAAGUCAACAUCAAUUUCUUUUGUUGUAAAAGGGUAUGAGGAAGGUGGCUUUCUUUUCGGAGAAAGUGUUUAUAGCCUUGUGCCUCUGCAAUCGGAGAGAUUGAGGUCUGCAGCGUAGAUCCUUCGGGGUUAGAUACAUUUGUGCUAAGUUAUAGCUUUUCAUAGACAACUUGUUGACUAUAUUUAGUCUUGUGGCUUACUCGCUUAUGCUAUUUUACCUACGCUUAGGAUGUUGACGAGACUGUCGAUCUC